UGGGGAAUUCUUGACAAUGGGGGAAACCCUGAUCCAGCCAUCCCGCGUGUGCGAUGAAGGCCUUCGGGUUGUAAAGCACUUUUGGCAGGAAAGAAACGUCAUGGGUUAAUACCCCGUGAAACUGACGGUACCUGCAGAAUAAGCACCGGCUAACUACGUGCCAGCAGCCGCGGUAAUACGUAGGGUGCAAGCGUUAAUCGGAAUUACUGGGCGUAAAGCGUGCGCAGGCGGUUCGGAAAGAAAGAUGUGAAAUCCCAGAGCUCAACGUUGGAACUGCGUUUUUAACUAACGGGCUAGAGUGUGUCAGAGGGAGGUGGAAUUCCGCGUGUAGCAGUGAAAUGCGUAGAUAUGCGAAGGAACACCGAUGGCGAAGGCAGCCUCCUGGGAUAACACUGACGCUCAUGCACGAAAGCGUGGGGAGCAAACAGG
rnacentral:rRNA from 1 species